rnacentral:rRNA from 1 species
UACGUAGGGUGCGAGCGUUGUCCGGAAUUAUUGGGCGUAAAGAGCUCGUAGGUGGUUUGUCGCGUUGUUCGUGAAAACUCACAGCUCAACUGUGGGCGUGCGGGCGAUACGGGCAGACUAGAGUACUGCAGGGGAGACUGGAAUUCCUGGUGUAGCGGUGAAAUGCGCAGAUAUCAGGAGGAACACCGGUGGCGAAGGCGGGUCUCUGGGCCGAUACUGACGC